AACGAACGCUGGCGGCAUGCCUAACACAUGCAAGUCGAACGAGAUCUUCGGGUCUAGUGGCGCACGGGUGCGUAACGCGUGGGAAUCUGCCCUUUGGUUCGGAAUAACAGUUGGAAACGACUGCUAAUACCGGAUGAUGACGAAAGUCCAAAGAUUUAUCGCCAGAGGAUGAGCCCGCGUAGGAUUAGCUAGUUGGUGUGGUAAAGGCGCACCAAGGCGACGAUCCUUAGCUGGUCUGAGAGGAUGAUCAGCCACACUGGGACUGAGACACGGCCCAGACUCCUACGGGAGGCAGCAGUGGGGAAUAUUGGACAAUGGGCGAAAGCCUGAUCCAGCAAUGCCGCGUGAGUGAUGAAGGCCUUAGGGUUGUAAAGCACUUUUACCCGGGGUGAUAAUGACAGUACCGGGAGAAUAAGCUCCGGCUAACUCCGUGCCAGCCGCCGCGGUAA
rnacentral:rRNA from 1 species